GGUUAUCUGACCUGGAGAAUAAAGACAGUGGGGCGCAACAAAUCAUGUAAGAUCAAGAGGAGAACCAAGUCCACCUAUCAAAAUGGUCCAAAGGCUCAACAAAGUUCCCCUUCAGCUGUUGAGGAACUGUUAGAUGAACAAGUGUCCAUGUCUGAGGUCUCGAUCUGCUCAGUUGGGUCUGAUUCCUCUGGAUCAGCUUUAACUCUGGAAAAAACAAGGCAAGAAAAAGAGGUCUGACUGAUGAACCUACAGACAGAAAUGCAGCAAGAGACAUGAUCAGUGCCAUCCUUCACUCAAAGCCAGGUGGAGAAAAGGUAUUCCAGGAGUAUGGGAAAACCAAAGGUCUUACGGAUAGCACACGAGAC